rnacentral:sRNA from 1 species
CUUUUUCUGCGCCGAGGAGUAUGGCAUUAGAUUAAUGAAUGCAAUCGUCUGCAAGAGAACAUGAUUUGAAACGUUGACGUCAUAACGUGUUUUUUGAGACAAGUUCUGCAACAAUGAAUAUGACAACACAAAUGGUGUUAACAGAUUCUCAGGACGGAAUGACAAAAAGAGAAGAGAACAUGACCAUCGUGCUCGGAAUAAUGGCGCCAAUAUUCGUGGUUGUUGUGAUGCUUGUUAUUCUGUUGUUUUCUUUUUACAACUUUCACAAACGAUUGCAUCACAAAAAGAAACAUCACAUAGAUUACGUCAGAGCAAACCUGCCAUUGAAGCGUCCAAGAAUUUCUCCGCCCAAUAUGAACACGUUCAAUGCGUUAGAUUGGAAAUCGCGUGUGACACAUGGUUCAAAGGAAACGAAAUCUUUUUCAAAACUUUCAUAUUCAAGCGUUGCUAACGAGGAUGUUUCUGACGCUGACACCGAGACCCCGGAUGUUUAUGGUGCGAGUACUGAAGAAGAAGAUUGUAGGGUGACGAUAACUGAUAACAUUGACCUCAUGAGUUCAAAGGUCAAGAAGUCAUAUGGUUCUCGAUGGAAGUCUAAUGACAAAUUCGACAAGUAUUUUUUUGAACUAGUUCCAACAAUUUGUCAACCAGAGUCGGAUUAUCUGCCAGGUGACGAAUUAUUUGGAAAAUACCUCAACACGUGAUGUUUGUUUUAAAACUCUAAAUUCACUUAUUGAACCAAUACUUCAGAGAUCAUUCAAGGAAAACCGAUCACGUUCAAAUUCGUUGGUUCGGUCCGAAAUGCGUCAUUUGCAAUUAUGUCCCUAUUCUGACUAAAUGACUGAACUAUGCUUCGAAUAUUUGCAUCUUUGACAUCAUGUUUGCAGUGGUGGAAGAAGAAAAAAACCAUGAAUAGAAUACAAAUUAAACCAUCUAGGGAGGCCGGAGUUAUGACGUUCCACGCAGAUGAGAUUACAAAAAAACAUUGAUGGGAUCUAUUGUUAAGACUAGCUUCGUUAGCUUGAAUUAUAUUAAAAUGAUUCAUGUUUAAUCAUGAAGGAAACU